CCAUUUCCACACAGUGUCUGUUUCCUCAGAACACCGGUCUUCACCAAAGGCGUGGGAAAGGGCAGAGAGCACAGGACAUAUUCUGGAAUUCAGGUCACCUUUUACAUCUGCCUGGAGUUGGGUGAGCGCCUCACGAAUGACUCGGCAGGACUGACUGCCACUGCUAACCAGGGGGAUGCAAGCAAUGAGGAGGACCUGCCCAGGCCGGGUGGGUGUCUGCUCCCUCCCUCUGGUCCCUGGCACAUCUCUGGACCCCCUGCCCUGCUGUCGGAGAGAGAUGACUGGCAACGGCGUAUUGUCAGAGACAGGGCCUGCCUGCAAAUCCUUUAAAGUCAAUGGGAUGAAAUGUAUACCCAUUGUUAGAAAAAAAUAGGACUUAGCAAGUUGAGUGCAAAUAACUGAUGCAAGACUGGGAUGGAGAUGGGAGGGGUUUGGGGCAAAAGCAGAAGUCUUUCUGGGUCCGCACCAGCUGUGAAAUACCUGGCUUGUUGUUCUGUGCCUGUCUCCAGCACCCAGGCAGGGCUACCUGACCACUUUGCUCUCUCAGCCCUGCCCUGGCUCUGGAGCGAGCCUGUGAAAAGGGGGACACUUAGCCAAGGCCCCAGCCACAUAGCAGCAGCAGCUGCGCCCUCUGUCAGCUCCUUGCACCUCCUCACUGGGCCUUCUGCAAGGCACCUGCUCCACUCCACCACUAUCACCUGGGUCCUCCUGGCCUUGGCCUGGCUUGCUUACCUUGUUAUCAAGUCCUGACUGGGGGAAGCAAUAUUCCUUCUCCACUACAAAUCACCACAGUAUUCACAAAGAAUUCCAGAGAAAUAAGAACAGAGACAUCAGACCAUACUGAGCACUCAAUAAAGAGAAAAUUCUUCAAAGGUA